UUUCAGGUGAGCAGGAAGGUUGGCAGUAUGAGUUCUAUGUCUGGAGCAGACGACAACCUCUACAUGGAAUUCCGCGGGAAGAAAGGGAUGGUGGCCAGUGGGCACGCUCAUCCACUGUUUAAACGGUUCCGAAAAAUCUGAAGAAACAGCCUCGAAUUGAAAGGCUACAUUCAUAGACAAUUCAGUGGAUUUUGAAGACAUUGGUGUGAACUUAAAGGAUACAACUUUUAGGCUGAAUCAGGUCCACAAAAGGAUGAAAAAUUCUGUUGUUGUAACAGGUAGUUCAAUGAAAGAACAGAUUCAAUAUCAGUGUUGCUGUCUCUGCCAUUGGAAUGAGGAAUCAUUGUUUGAAUGAUAAUCUUUUAUCAUAAGUUGUGAAUGUACAUGUACAUGAACUUUGUACUUGUUGAAAAAAAAAUUCAAUAAAUUGGUGUCAAAAUGUUCAUGAUUUGUCUCAAGAGUCUG
rnacentral:misc_RNA from 1 species